rnacentral:rRNA from 1 species
GACGAACCGUGCAAACGUUGUUCGGAAUCACUGGGCUUAAAGGGCGCGUAGGCGGAUUCCCAAGUCGGUGGUGAAAUCUUUCAGCUCAACUGGAAAAGUGCCGCCGAUACUGGGAGUCUUGAGGGAGGUAGGGGUCGAUGGAACUGGUGGUGGAGCGGUGAAAUGCGUAGAUAUCACUAGGAACGCCGGUGGCGAAAGCGAUCGACUGGACCUCUUCUGACGCUGAGGCGCGAAAGCCAGGGGAGCAAACGGG